rnacentral:rRNA from 1 species
UUCGGUUGAUCCUGCCGAAGGCUACUGCUAUUGGAGUUCGAUUAAGCCAUGCGAGUCUAAGGGAUCUUCGGAUCCCUGGCGUAAUGCUCAGUAACACGUGGAUAAUCUACCCUCAGGUGGGGCAUAAACCCGGGAAACUGGGGCCAAUUCCCCAUAGAUACAGAUCGCUGGAAUGCUUCUGUAUUCAAAGCUCCGGCGCCUGAGGAUGGGUCUGCGGCCUAUCAGGUUGUAGUCAGGGUCAAGACCUGACUAGCCAGCGACGGGUAUGGGGUGUGAGAGCACUUGCCCAGAGAUGGUUUCUGAGACACGAAACCAGGCCCUACGGGGCGCAGCAGGCGCGAAAACUUCGCAAUGCGGGAAACCGUGACGAGGGAACUCCAAGUGUCUAUGCAUUGCAUAGACUGUUUUUUAGCCUAAAUAGCUAUUAGAGUAAGGGGUGGGCAAGACCGGUGCCAGCCGCCGCGGUAACACCGGCACCCCGAGUGGUAGCCACUAUUAUUGGGCCUAAAGCGUUCGUAGCCGGUUUGGUAAAUUCUUGGGUAAAUCGUACCGCUUAACGGUGCGGAUUCCGGGGACACUACCAGACUUGAGACCGGGGGAGAUCAGAGGUACUUGCGGGGGAGCGGUGAAAUGUUGUAAUCCCGCAGGGACCACCAGUGGCGAAGGCGUCUGAUCAGAACGGCUCUGACGGUGAGGGACGAAACCCUGGGGCGCAAACGGGAUUAGAUACCCCGGUAGUCCAGGGCGUAAACGCUGCUGACUUGGUGUUGGGGAUCCUACGAGGAUGUCCAGUGCUGGCGCGAAGGUAUUAAGUCAGCCGCCUGGGGAGUACGGUCGCAAGACUGAAACUUAAAGGAAUUGGCGGGGGAGCACUGCAACGUGUGGAGCGUGCGGUUUAAUUGGAUUCAACGCCGGAAAACUCACCGGGGGCGACGGUUACAUGAAGGCCAAGCUGAUGACUUUGCCUGAUUUUCCGAGAGGUGGUGCAUGGCCGCCGUCAGUUCGUACCGUAAGGCGUUCUGUUAAGUCAGAUAACGAACGAGACCCUCAUUGCCAUUUGCUAGGCUCUUCUCAGGAAGGGUUGCACUAUGGCGAUACCGCCACUGCUGAAGUGGAGGAAGGAGGGGGCAACGGUAGGUCAGUAUGCCCCGA